GGCAUAUUCUUUGGUGGACCAAAGUAGUCUGAGCAAACAGGCCAUUUAACCAGGAUUCACAACUGCUUUGUCUCAUCACAGCAGUACAAAGCAGCUGAAAUGUACUGAAGAACAAGAGAGAGAAAACUCAGCACUCUGUUUACGUGAAAGGAAUGAAUCAAACCUCUAAUCAGGUACCAGUAACAAUAGGUUACCACGUUGGAGCAAAAGCUGCUUGGCUGACUUAUGUAAAACCCCCACUGAUUUCAGUUGGAGUUGCAUGUAUGCAGAAUGACAAAAGCCUUGUUACAUGGUGAAAUACCUGAGUCAGGGUAGGAAAGGACUUUGGUGCCUCCAUGUUAUGAAAACAAAAGCAGAUCUGGGAUUUUUCACACCUUUUUUAAGCCGGCUGCUUCAAUAUUGAUGACAUCGUCUACUUCUGGCUCAGUGGCAAGUAACAGUAUUGGAAACUUCCAGACACCACCUGUAGUGCAUCGUACCACCAAUGUUGCUGAAUUCCUUC